rnacentral:rRNA from 1 species
GACGCUGGCGGCAGGCUUAACACAUGCAAGUCGAACGAACUCUUCGGAGUUAGUGGCAGACGGGUGAGUAACGCGUGGGAACCUACCUUUAGGUACGGAACAACAGUUGGAAACGACUGCUAAUACCGUAUGUGCCCUAUGGGGGAAAGAUUUAUCGCCUAAGGAUGGGCCCGCGUUGGAUUAGCUAGUUGGUGGGGUAAUGGCCUACCAAGGCGACGAUCCAUAGCUGGUCUGAGAGGAUGAUCAGCCACACUGGGACUGAGACACGGCCCAGACUCCUACGGGAGGCAGCAGUGGGGAAUAUUGGACAAUGGGGGCAACCCUGAUCCAGCCAUGCCGCGUGAGUGAUGAAGGCCCUAGGGUUGUAAAGCUCUUUCAGCGAGGAGGAUAAUGACGUUCUCGCAGAAGAAGCCCCGGCUAACUUCGUGCCAGCAGCCGCGGUAUACCAAG